GCCACUCCCACUGAAUGGGGCCCCCUAGAAGAAGGGAGGAGGGCAUCCAGGACUGACCAGAGCCAGUCAGCUAAAGAGGACAGCCUGGACCCCAGCAGGAGACCUAGAGAGAGAAGACUCAGCAGGAAGGCAAGCAAUGCCACCUGCCCCAGCAAUCUGGCCUCCCCUCAGCCCACCACUGCAGGUGUGCACAGGACCCAGACUUGCUCCUAUGAACAGAACAUGGGAAAGCAAAGGACCACCACCCUGAGGCAAGACUACUGCAGAGACCCAGGGCUCCACUCGCUCUGGGUAAGCAGAGCUUGCUGCCAUACCAAGCACUACCUGAUGGGAAGGCACCAUCUCCCACCAGUGGCUGGCAUGGACCAGAGAUUGCAGACAGCCAGAGGGGAAAGCUUGGAAGGUGACCCCACAAUUGCACUUUGAGAUGCUCACGGCCCAUCUAACACUGUACCCCUGACUCCUGGCACAUACAAUUGUGAGCUAACAAACAUU
rnacentral:lncRNA from 1 species